rnacentral:lncRNA from 1 species
AUGGUUCUCAAGGCAUCUCUUACAAAUGUAGAGAAAGCCCUGGCUAUGGGCCACGUCUCAUUUCCUUGCAGAAACCCCUUCUCUCUGAAAUGCAGUGGAAUGGAUAAGCUGGCGCACAAAGAACGCGAAUGUAAGCGGAAUAGGGUCAGUGCUGACAUCAAGGAACAAAGAAAAGGCCAGAGGGGUUCAGAAGGAGAGCAACUGAUUCUGGAAAGAGACAUCAAAAUGUGGAAGCCUUCCUGGAUGGAAGGGAAUUUCAACUGGACUGGAAACGAUGGAAAGGAUUUUGAAGGCAGAGAUAGAGGAGGAACAUCUCUAACUGAGAAAACAGUUUGAACAGACUUGUACAGGAAAAAAAAUAAAUCGUCUUCCACAUUUGGCAAAAACACUAGGAAUUGAGUUGGUUGGCAGGUAGGAUACAUGAAGGAGUCAGUGGGAGCUGAGGAUAAGAUUAUUUCACAUGAUAUGUACUUUGCCAUUUAUAAACAGAAUUUGGGUUUAAGCCUGUAGUCCCAGCUACCCAGAGGCUGAGGGAAGAGGAUUGCUUGAGCCUAGAAGUUCGAGACCCACCUGGGCAACAGAGCCAGACCCCAUUUCUUAAAGAAAAAGAUCUUGGGUUCAAUAUGUCCUUUUGUUCAACAACCCUGUGAAGUAGGCAGAGGAAAUAGGAUUAUUUCCUGUAAUGGAUCAGGUAACCUGGUUACAGGGCAGUUAAUUCAUUCUAAGUGACACAGGCUGUAAGUGAGAAAACCAGCACCAAAUUUCAUACUAAUUUUACUACAUUAAGUUUCAUCGCUGGAAAUAAAGAAGAAGUUUGCAGGGCCAAGCUAGUUGAAGCUUACCUUGGACAAAGAAUCAAAGUUUUUUUUUUUUCUUUCUUUCUUUUUUUUUCAUAAGAGGUGGGUGGGGGUGUUGACAAGGAGGAAAGGGAGGAACCCACGAACGUAAUUUCAGCAACAGUUCCCUUAACAACGCCUGCAGAUGGAUGAAUUUCCGCACAGUCUGGUUUUCUGUUCCUUUUCUGUUCCUGAAGAGAAACAAUGAGGGAGUGAGGGAUACACAGUGAUGUUUAUCUUUCCAGCUCUGGACUUUCAAAUUCUGGAAUCCCCCAGGGUUGGGGAAGGGUGGGUGUAGUCACUUCCCACCGUUGCAGAGGGAUGGGAGAUGUAGCAACUCCUGUCGGGGCAUGGGGCGGGGUGUGUGAUUUCCUCCCAAAUCGGAAAUUUAUCUCCCGAAUGGGAGGCUGCAGAGAGUCAUCAAGGACUUAUCUCUAGGAGCAGACACCAGAGAGGAGCCCUGCCCAAUCCUUUACCCCAAAGUGGGUGUGCUUAGCUCGAGGAGGGAGAAGAGGGUUGCCAGCUAAGAGUCAGCACCAAGGGCGCCUGCUCUCAUGCAUGUGUCAAUGAAGAAUUCCUGCCAGACUUCCAGUACUGUCCCCGACCCUGGGCAGAAUCCCAGCUGCCCCUCCCAGAACGCUCCAUGCCGCUGGAACUCAGGAGCGCAGCUCAGCUCUGUAAUCGAAAGCAAAGGAGAGUUUUGGUCCUUUCCUUGGAUUGAGUCCAAAAUUCAGGGAUGAACAGCUCAGCUCCUAGAAAUUACGCUCUGGAAUUUCCAAAAGCUCAACAAAUAGCCCCAACAUGCAGGGUUGUUUGUUGAGAUGAAGCAUCCUUUUACUACCCUUAGAACAUUACAACAGGAAGGAAGUCCCAUCCCUUUUUUAUAGAUGAGGAAACUGCAGGAUAGAGAGACUAAAUAUAUAUUAAAUCAAGCAUAUUAAUUAUAGUAUUUAAAUUUUCUAAGUCCUUAUUUUAUUUUAAAUCUGAUUUAUUAGACCUAAAGGUAGGUAAAUCUUCCUCUCCUGCUGUCUUCCUCCUCAUGUAUAUUUCCAAAGUUUUUUUUAACCUAUAUUUAUACAAGUAAUUAGCUUCCAUUCAUUUGUUUCAUCAUCUAUAAAAUGGAAAUGAUCUUUGCCUCACAGAUGCAUGAAUAUUAAAG